rnacentral:rRNA from 1 species
GUGAGGAAUUUUCCGCAAUGGGCGAAAGCCUGACGGAGCAAUGCCGCGUGAAGGAUGAAGGCCUAUGGGUUGUAAACUUCUUUUCUUAGAGAAGAAUAUUGACGGUAUCUGAGGAAUAAGCACCGGCUAACUUCGUGCCAGCAGCCGCGGUAAUACGAAGGGUGCAAGCGUUAAUCGGAAUUACUGGGCGUAAAGCGCGCGUAGGCGGCUUUGUAAGACGGAUGUGAAAGCCCCGGGCUCAACCUGGGAAGUGCAUUCGUGACUGCAAGGCUAGAGUGUGUCAGAGGGAGGUGGAAUUCCGCGUGUAGCAGUGAAAUGCGUAGAGAUGCGGAGGAACACCGAUGGCGAAGGCAGCCUCCUGGGAUAACACUGACGCUCAGGCACGAAAGCGUGGGGAGCAAACAGGAUUAGAUACCCGGGUAGUCC